rnacentral:lncRNA from 1 species
AAAUGCCAUACAGCUAUGGUAGGGUUACUUUUCAGUGAGAGUGGGUCCUUGGAAAUAGUAAGCUGUUCUUCCUAGGAGAUGGGUUGAGAGACAUGGGAGGCAAUGACAAGUCUGUGGUGACUGGCAGAAAUGCAGUCAUUUAGCACCAAGUUUAAUACUUUGAAUGGUGUUUUUCUCCCCACCCACCCUCUUUCUGUAAGAGUACUGGUCAACAGUUUUUUCUCUCAGUCUAGCAAAACAAAAUGAAUCAAAAUAUAAAGGAAUAUUGUUGGUUUUUAAACAUACACUUGUUAAAUGAACCUUAUUUUAAUAGAAAAAAACCCUACUUAGUAACCUACCGCCAUUCCACCUCACCCGCAUACUUCACAACUCUAAGAAGUCUUUGUGUACCACUACCAGUCAGUUAACUGGAAAUGUAGAGAACAUAAUAGACCACAGUAGACUAUAGCAAACAGUUGCAGGCCAUGGGCAGUUCUGUAGGUUCUAUAAAUGUGUAUCAGUUCUCUGCAGCAAAUGAGAGGUAAUACUUAAAAAGGGUAGAGUAGAGCCAGGCAUGGUGGUGCACGCCUUUAAUCCCAGCACUCUGGAGGCAGAGGCAGGUGGAUCUUUGAAAGUCCAAGGCCAGCCUUAUCUACAAAGUGAGUUCCAGAACAGCUAGGGCUACACAGAGAAACUGUCUCAAAAAGUCAAAAAGAGGAAGAAGGGAAAAAAAAAGGAUGAAGAACUUCUGGGUAAAAAGAUGUUGUGAGAGGUAUUAGUCAGCUCUUACAGUGUCCUUAUAUAAAGUUCAGAUCCUGCCAGGUAACAAACCCUGUAAACCAAUAAUGUUCAUGAAAAGUUGCACAUUGUAAUACAGACUUAACUUCUGACAGUACUAAGAAGUUACAAACUUUUAUGUAUCCGAAUAGGUUUAUAGCUGUUGUUUUUAAAGGAAACAACUGAAACGUUUACCCAGGAAGCAGCAUAGGUGCCUGGAAGUUGUUAGAGAAACUGGAACAGAUUUGAGUGUGGUGAAUCUCAUAUUUCAGCUAUGUGUUCAAGAGUCCUAUGACUAGUAAUUGAAUACUAAUAGUUUCAGAUAGUAUCAUAUUCAAAUACAAAUUUAUAGAAAGAACUCAUGUAAUGACUUUAUACCUCAUUGCUUAAAAAGUGAGGAUACUAACUUUAUUCCCUAGUGCAGUGAUUCUCAACCUUCCUGAUGUCAGGACCCAUUAAUAUAAUUCCUCACGUUGUCGUGAUCCCUAACCAUAAAAUCGUUUUCACUGCUACUUCAUAACUAUACUUUUGUUACUGUUAUGAGUUAUAAUGUAAGUAUUUGAUAUCAGGAUAUCAGAUAUGUCACCCCUGUGAAAGGGUUGUUUGACCCCAAAGGGGUUAAGGACCCACAGGAUGAGAAUUACUGCUCUAGUGCCUUCCACUGUUACGAAUAUGUUAAAUGUUUGCCACACAGAGUCUCACAUUUUGUCUAAUUUAAAUUGAUCUUGAACUAUUUUUCAUUAAAAUACAUCAAAAGUUAAGGAUGUAUAUUGAUUACAUUGACAGUAUUCUUUUUAUACAGUAAAAGUUAAAAUAACUUAAUGAGUAGUUUUCCUUUUAGGAAUUAAGAAAAGCCAACAUGUUGAUUAAUGUCUCUUAGAGCUCUUUUUUAUCAGUUUAUUCCUAUACCCAGUCCUUCGUACUUUCUAUUUCCACCCUUUAGUCUUCUGUUGCUUGUUUCAUAUGCUCCUUAUAUUUUCUUCAUUAAUUAUGAACAUAUAAAUUAGAUGAAACUUGAUCAAACUUGAUACAGGUUUAAUAUUUAGCAAGAAUAUCUUGCUAUGCUAUGUCAUUUCUGUUGUAUUAUUUCUGGAGGAGCAGACUGUCUUCAUUCCUUUUGUGACAUUCAUCAGUAGGGUGAGAUGUUGUCAGUUUGACAUACUCAUUAUAGAAUGCUCCUAUCAUUUAUUCACUUUCAGUAACAAGUGAUUGUGUAAUCCUACUGGUGUUGUGAAAAUAACAUGGUUUUUCUUCAUAUAUUAAAAGUCCACUAAGAAUUGCUCAUGAAUUACAUGUUUACACUGUAGCCACAUGCAGUUUUUAAAACUGAAGCAGGAUAGAUUUUAUUCUCUGAUAGUUUCAUACAUGAAUAUAAUGAAUUGUAGUUGUUAUUCCUCUCUCUUUUACUGUAACCCUCCUUCCUGAGAAGUCCUCUCCCUGGGUGGGAGGCGACUCACUGGAGUAUGGGAAAUUUACCAGUGGCUGCAGCACUGAAAGACAUGGUGCCCUCUCUCCCAGCAAACACUGACUGCUGAUGCUUCCUUGGGGAGGGAGGGCUUGGGUCUCCUAAGCCCCUCCUCAUCACAGUUUUUCUAAUGAUCAACCUCCAGUGUAAUUAGUGUGGCCUCCUCCUUUUUUGUUAUUAUUACCAUUUGGAAAUUAAGAUUUUUACCUUUGUUUUGUAGUCUAUUGUAGUGACUAUUUUUAAAAUGUUAUUAAAUCUUGGGCAAGUGGAGUUUCAAAUACCAGUAACUUUUGACAUGUGGUUGAAGUUUGAGCCAUGCUUUUCAAAAGUCCUUGUGCCCAAGGUGUAGAAAAUGCUCCCGAGCAAUCACAUAAUGAUGUGCCAAGGGAUACUUGCUUUAAGGUUGUUUCUGUUGCACCACUCUUUCAGGAGCAGUUAGCAGUUUUUGAUAGAAAUAUCUUAUAAGUUCAUUCAGUAUUUCUCAUUCAUACUUAAAGCUACACUGGUUUUGAUUAUUUGAGUUUUAAAAUACUGGUUUUGUUUAUUUGAUUUCUUUUUCAGAUUUAUUUUGUGUGUUUGAGUGUUUUGCUUACAUGUAUGUUUGUGUAUCAUGUACAUCUUGGAACUGGAGUUACGGGCAGUUGAAAAUUGACAUGUGGGUACUGGGAAUCAAACGCCAAAUCCUGUAAGAACAAGUGCUCUUAAACACUGGGCCAUCUCUCUAGCCCCCUCAUUUUAUGCUUGUAUCUCUUGUCCCUGAAAAAUCUUGAUUGCUAAUAUUAACCUUGGUAUACCAUGAGUAGCACUUUAAGAAACACUAGCUUACCACAUGUAGCACUAGCUUUUAAAAGAGACACUACUUUACUAAAAGCCAUAUUAAUACUAUACUAACAUUAUUUAAAAUAAAGAUUUUUUUAAUAAUCAUGUUUUUGACUUUAGGGCAUAUUUCAUAGAAGCCAAAUGUAGUUAUUGAAUUUUAAAGUUUAUUGAAAUUAUUCUCUGUUCUACCAGCAAAAUAAAGAGAUUUGUUUUCAAUUUUGGAUUAAAUUAAAAAAUUUUUUUUUAACUAUCUUUCCUCC